rnacentral:rRNA from 1 species
CUUGGUUAUUGAAGCGACUUGGAACCACCCUUUCCCAUCUCGAACAAGGAAGUGAAACGAGUUAGCGCUUAUGAUACUCUUUGAUCUAAUCAAAGGGGAAAGUAGGUCGUAGCCAAGG